GCAUAUCAAUAAGCGGAGGAAAAGAAACCAACAGGGAUUGCCCCAGUAACGGCGAGUGAAGCGGCAACAGCUCAAAUUUGAAAUCUGGCCUCGGCCCGAGUUGUAAUUUGCAGAGGAAGCUUUAGGCGCGGCACCUUCUGAGUCCCCUGGAACGGGGCGCCAUAGAGGGUGAGAGCCCCGUAUAGUUGGAUGCCUAGCCUGUGUAAAGCUCCUUCGACGAGUCGAGUAGUUUGGGAAUGCUGCUCAAAAUGGGAGGUAAAUUUCUUCUAAAGCUAAAUACCGGCCAGAGACCGAUAGCGCACAAGUAGAGUGAUCGAAAGAUGAAAAGCACUUUGAAAAGAGGGUUAAAUAGCACGUGAAAUUGUUGAAAGGGAAGCGCUUGUGACCAGACUUGCGCCGGGCAGAUCAUCCGGUGUUCUCACCGGUGCACUCUGACCGGCUCAGGCCAGCAUCGGUUCUCGCGGGGGGAUAAAGGCCUCGGGAACGUAGCUCCUCCGGGAGUGUUAUAGCCCGGGGCGUAAUGCCCUCGCGGGGACCGAGGUUCGCGCAUCUGCAAGGAUGCUGGCGUAAUGGUCAUCAGCGACCCGUCUUGAAACACGGACCAAGGAGUCAAGGUUUUGCGCGAGUGUUUGGGUGUAAAACCCGCACGCGUAAUGAAAGUGAACGUAGGUGAGAGCUUCGGCGCAUCAUCGACCGAUCCUGAUGUUUUCGGAUGGAUUUGAGUAGGAGCGUUAAGCCUUGGACCCGAAAGAUGGUGAACUAUGCUUGGAUAGGGUGAAGCCAGAGGAAACUCUGGUGGAGGCUCGCAGCGGUUCUGACGUGCAAAUCGAUCGUCAAAUCUGAGCAUGGGGGCGAAAGACUAAUCGAACCAUCUAGUAGCUGGUUACCGCCGAAGU
rnacentral:rRNA from 1 species